rnacentral:rRNA from 1 species
CCUACGGGGGGCUGCAGUGGGGAAUAUUGGACAAUGGGCGAAAGCCUGAUCCAGCCAUACCGCGUGUGUGAAGAAGGCCUUCGGGUUGUAAAGCACUUUCAGUGGGGAAGAAAGCCUUGGGGCUAAUACCCUCGAGGAAGGACAUCACCCACAGAAGAAGCACCGGCUAACUCCGUGCCAGCAGCCGCGGUAAUACGGAGGGUGCGAGCGUUAAUCGGAAUUACUGGGCGUAAAGCGCGCGUAGGCGGUCUGAUAAGCCGGUUGUGAAAGCCCCGGGCUCAACCUGGGAACGGCAUCCGGAACUGUCAGGCUAGAGUGCAGGAGAGGAAGGUAGAAUUCCCGGUGUAGCGGUGAAAUGCGUAGAGAUCGGGAGGAAUACCAGUGGCGAAGGCGGUCUUCUGGACUGACACUGACGCUGAGGUGCGAAAGCGUGGGUAGCAAACAGGAUUAGAUACCCGAGUAGUC